rnacentral:rRNA from 1 species
AGAAUCAACGCUGGCGGCGUGCCUAACACAUGCAAGUCGAACGAGAAAGUGGAGCAAUCCAUGAGUAAAGUGGCGCACGGGUGAGUAACACGUGACUAACCUACCCUUGAGUGGGGGAUAACCUCGGGAAACCGGGGCUAAUACCGCAUAAUAUCGAGAGAUCAAAGGAGCAAUUCGCUUAAGGAGGGGUCGCGGCUGAUUAGCUAGUUGGUGAGGUAAUGGCUCACCAAGGCUAUGAUCAGUA